ACGGGGGGGCAAGCGUUGUUCGGAAUUACUGGGCGUAAAGGGCUCGUAGGCGGCCAACUAAGUCGGACGUGAAAUCCCUCGGCUUAACCGGGGAACUGCGUCCGAUACUGGAUGGCUUGAGUUUGGGAGAGGGAUGCGGAAUUCCGGGUGUAGCGGUGAAAUGCGCAGAUAUCAAGAGGAACACCUGCGGCGAAGGCGGGUUGCUGGGCCGACACUGACGCUGAGGCGCGAAAGCUAGGGGAGCGAACGGGA
rnacentral:rRNA from 1 species